GGUCGUAUAGUGUAGCGGUUAGCACAGCGGAUUCUGAUGUUCAGAACGUUCCGCUAACCCUGGUUCGAAUCCAGGUUCGACCU
rfam:Cladophialophora psammophila CBS 110553 aczJe-supercont1.2, whole genome shotgun sequence.